AAAAAGAGCGUUACAUUAAAUUAUAUGUAGAUUUUGUAAUAACGGUAACUAAUUAUUAAACUGCGGACAUUUAUACAUUUAGGAGAAAUUUAAAAGUGCAAAAUGUAUGCACAGAAUGUAUAGAACGUACAAAAGUAUAUAAAAUAUUGGAUUGUUAGAAAAAUUCGUAACGAGUGUUAAGAAACAUUUAACUAGAAUUAGACUUUCUAUCAUAUUUUUCCUGACAAACUGUCUUCUUACGUAUGAAUUCAUUCAAACAGCUUUUAUACCGGAUUCCAGAAUAUUUCACGAAUUUUUGACCGUGCAACACGUAGGAGACAUGGAACGAGGAAAAAAUGAGAUUUAAUUUAAAGAGAUUUUGAAUCUCGUCUGUAUCAUUUCCAACGGUCGUUAAUAGCAAUCGAAUGAUGGGGGCGCUGCACGCACAACGUUCUCUUUCAUUUACGCGCUAUUACGCAAACGAUACAUUUCCCGCAAUCUUUUUGAUCUAAACGCCACAUAAAGGCCCGAGUAUUGAGAUACAAAGGUAAUGUUUUCUUUUUUCCGUCUCAUAGUUAUCAAUCGAAUUGAUUCAGCAAUUGGUAUAUUUUCGUUUCGCUGGGUCAUUGUACUAAGUAAAAUCGUCACAGAUAUAUCGUAGCUAAAAAUACGUUGGUACUUAAAAAGAUAAGUAGCAUUUCGGCUAAAAAUAACUGAAACCAAAAUUAUCUAUUGAAAACGAGAAAUAAAGAGACAGUUACUUAACAGAUAGGAUGCUUCUUGUAACUGGAUCAAGCCAUAAUUUUAAAAUAUGUAAUAAGCAAUGUAAUGAAGCUUUCAUUGAGCAAAAUUAAAUGUUUUCGCGUAGUGCGUCAUGUAAUUAUACGGAAGUGAAGGUGUUUCGAAGAUUUCAAAGUAAUUUCCAUUUUUUAAAAUUGUAUAUGCUUUCAUAUACAAUUGGAUUGGUAAUUUAUUUUAGUGAGUUUCAGAGACCAAUUAUGUACUUGCAUGUGAAACCAGUUUUUUUCGCGUAACUAUUCCCGCUAAUUCAACCUUGACUGUGGUGUUGUUGAACAAAAAAAAAAAAAAAAAAAAAAUUUGUGGAGAUUGGACCAAGAUAAACAACGAGAGAAAAAGAGAUUCUUCUCCAAGCACUUCGACAAUGUUAUUUUUUUUCGAAUUAUAAACAUGCUCAAAAGUAUUCGAACUAUGUUCCUCUUUAUAAAUAUCGAAAGAUAACUUCAACAACGAAUUAUAUACACACUACAAUGUUUGGAUUCUUUCAUAUGUGAAUUGCAAAUGUAGUAUAGUGUACAUUAAUCAUCAGAGGUCUAUCCAUGGGUACAAAGUAUAACUGCAUCUUAUGAAAAAGUGUAUGGCAUUGAUUAGAGGCAGCGAAAAAGUCAAAUGAAUUCUAAUAACACUCUUGAAAUUAAUUCAUAGAUUGUCAUAAAUAUAAAAAGAAAAGUUCUUUUAUGUAUAGAAAAUAAAAAGAGAAAUUCCUUUAGGUAUAGUUUCCUACGAAUAUCUAUUGGAAACAUUUACAAUGAAAUUUUCCGUAAAAAGACCAUAACGAAUUGCCUACAAUGCCAUUGGGUAUGUUGCAACUAAUAUAGUUCAGAGAUACGUGCCAAUAUCACUAAAAAUACAGGGACCGUAGAACGCAUAGAGAGCUUGCUGUUACGGCUCACACACGAAAUUAAAUAUUCACGCUGCUAAAUCAGAGUGAUAUGUCAACAAAUUGCAACUGUAUUUACCAUUUUGGAGCAGUUUGGAGGAGUGUGCGGUUGAACGCGCGAACUCAUAACGAAGAUCAACAAUCUACACUCUUCACGGAAUAAAGGAAAAAAAAAUAAGAAGAAUCAGAUGAAAAAGCACUUUUCGAGUUGAAGACACCAGUAUUUAGUCUAAUAUUACGAUAAUGAAAAGAUUGGAUAACGAAAUAUGUACUUGGCAUACAACUAAAUUACGUUAAAUGACAGCAGUGAAAGACGCCAGUAUACUGAAUAAGAACGCCGCGAAACGGCAUCGACAAACAUCAACGACAAACCACGAAGUUAGCCGACGAUCGCCGAACAUUUUCGGUCAUCUGUGGAUCAAUUAUUUUCAAAUGAAGCUAUAUAUUACAAGGAUCGCGUGUAUUUGAUUUGAGGAAUAAAGAGACGCACUUUGAAGGAAUAAAAAGAUCAUUAUUUUCAAUGUAGUGAAUAGAUCAGUAUAAUAAGUCAGGAACAGGAUUUUCAUUAGAUAUCAUAAAUAAAGUUCUUUUAAAUUUAAAAUUGCGUACCCAUUAUGGGAAACAUAGGUUUCAAGUUAUACAGUACGUAUUUAUUUAUUUUUUAACGUUAAUUUUUAAUCAUAUAUAAAUACAAUAUCUAUUAGUUUCACUUAAUUUUUCUUAAAUGUAUUCUCGGAAUUUUUAAGGAUUUUCAAAGAUAAAUUAAAAGCAAUCACGUAUCUUCUUGCAACAGUAAUUGCAACAGCUUCGUUUACAUCAUACAUCUACAUCAAAGAACGGGUGAAAAUGUAAACUAAUAUUUGACCGAUGUUAAAACAAGUUUAUCGUCCUUUUAACGAUUUGUAAACAUUUUUAACACCUUAAAUUUUGUAACUACGUAUAAAAGACUCAUCAAGCGGAUAAUAGGAAAACAUAUACAGUAACUAUAAGUUGCAAUAGAAAGUUAAUUUAUGAUAUAGAAAUUUUCGAAAGCUUCAUUCUGAAAUACAAGGCUCAUAAAGAAGUUAUAGACACGAAAUAAUUUCCGCUAAAGAAAACUGGGGAGCAAUAUAGCUGGUAGGUAAUUUUACUUAUGGGCUUCUCCUCAUGGCAAGCGUCCAGGAUCAUUUCCAUCGAAGAGAAACGCGUCGCCCGCAGUCAUGGUCAGGGUAUCCCUAACCUACUUGUAUUGCUACCGACUGAUCUAUUUAAAACCUGAUCCCUACAGUGAAAAUUCACUUUGAAAUGAAACUGUUCACUUGUUUUGAUAUUACCCUCGUUUCGACCGACAUCAGGCGUGUGACUAACAUGUUGAUAAAUUACUGAUCAAAAACAAAUAUAGUAUACUCAGAAUGGUUUCUAUUCUCUUUCUGAAGUAUGAGAAUUUUACGUCAUAUUUAUAAUACCUCUCUUUUAUAUAAUUGUCUAGAAAAUUAUCUGGAUGAUUAUUUAUAAACUUAUUUAUUAUCUAUCACUACUAUUAUUUAAUUACUCAUAGAAGUAAACAUUACCUAAAAAUCUGCCUACAGAGAUUUUGGCGAACUUGUCCUUGAUCGAAACAAAAACUCUUAACUGCGAGAUUGAUUUACAAGAAACCGUUCCAAUAUAAGGUACCUAAGCUUGAUUUAUCGCAGUUCGCAGGAAUUCCGCCUGAAAAAUCAAUCGCCCCGAGGGAACGACAAUUUUAGAAUACAUUCUUAUACCGUUUUAAAGAUAUCCAAUAAUAACCAUGGAAAAAUAUUUUAAUCCCUAGAUAUAAAAUUUACUUAGCUAAAUAUAACAAUCAUAAAGUUUCACGUAACUUAUCCGCUUUUGUUCUCUACUAUUUUACCCAACUUAGAGGAUUAUUAUAUUGACUACAAAUUAAGUAAGCCAACAAAGAGCAUAUUCUGCAGGAGCAAAAGGGUUUCAUAAUAUAGAUGAAACAAUUAAUUAGUCGGCAAUGCACAUUGAAGAAGUGUGAUGCGCGUAAAGAUUAAUUGCAAGAAAUCGUACCGAGUUGUUAAGCCCAUUACCUCGAGAUAUGAAUGUCCUAGAAUCUCAAUUAAUAACGUCAUUCGUUUGUGCGCCGCCUUUUCGUUAUAGAAUUUCUGCGAAUUUUCAAUGGGAAGUUCUUAUUUUCUUAUUAUUGCAUUCCUUGUGUUCAUAACAGAUUAUUCACGGUAUCCUGUUAUUACCUGGGAAUCAUUGACUGCACGC